rnacentral:rRNA from 1 species
GACGUAGGGGGCCAGCGUUGCUCGGAAUUACUGGGCGUAAAGGGCUCGUAGGCGGCCAACUAAGUCGGACGUGAAAUCCCUCGGCUUAACCGGGGAACUGCGUCCGAUACUGGAUGGCUUGAGUUCGGGAGAGGGAUGCGGAAUUCCAGGUGUAGCGGUGAAAUGCGUAGAUAUCUGGAGGAACACCGGUGGCGAAGGCGGCAUCCUGGACCGAUACUGACGCUGAGGAGCGAAAGCCAGGGGAGCAAACGGG